AGAAGGACCUCGGACAGCUGUCUGCCAAGGCACAGAAGAAUGUCUUUCUUACUUUAUGAGAAAGAAAACAAACAAACAAACAAAAAGAUCUAAGGAAAUGGGAAAGAAAGGUAACCAUGGAGCUUUUUCCAAGGAGCCUAAGACAGCUAUCUCCGCCAGCCGGGGAGUGGGAAAGUUCAGCUUUGUUCUGAUGAAGGGAUAUGAGGCUUAUUUGGACCAGAAAAAAAAAAAAAUCAACUGAAUAAUCAGAUGCCUCUGGACGGGCUACAGAAGGCUCUAUCUGGUGGUGUCCAUUCUGCCUGCUGGCUUCCUGCAGAGAUGAGAGCCUCCCCCAAGACAACUGCCAUUCUCCAAAAGUCGAGUUCUUGGCAUGGAGCUGGGGCCCUCAUGAUAAGGGAUUAGAUGGUCUGGGGCCUGCUCUGGCCUUCUCCCUGCCAGCUCCACAUGGAAUUAAAAUGCCCAGAGCCAAGCUGCUCACCCAGAACCUGCACCCUACUCCACUUCCCACUCCCAAUAAAUCUGUGACUCCAUGGGUCCCCUGCAGUUGGAAAUGGGAUCAAGGCCGUUGGGAGACACCUCACUGAGUUUCCUGGAAGAAAGGAGUCGUUCCAAAGCCUCCUGAUUCUAAUGAAUCCGAGCCACAAACAAGCCUCAGUUGCUCCUAUUCAAGGAGUCUGAUUGCAUCUGGCAGUGAUUGCUGAAAAUCCUGAAGAGGAAACAGGGAAGGGAAGCAUAUUGUUUGGGGGGGUAAUAGGUGAAGACCUGCCUCUCUUGACCUAUAAUACAUUAGUGUCAGUGAACAUUUGGCAGCCUUCAGAUGAUUAGCAAUGAAGAUGAAUCAAGCAAAAAAGAGGUAGAAAUCUGCCUCAUCUGAAUCACCAGAACUGCAUACAUUUGCAUGCUGAUUAGCUGUUCUUUUGUCUGUGUUCCUAAUUAUUAUGACACAUUAUGUCUUCAUCAUGCAAGAUUCUGAUCUGUCUUGUUCAAAAUGCAUGUAGAAAAAAGUGCUGUUUAUUGAUUCAACAUGUAACUUUUAUUUUUAUGUUUGCUUUAAUUAAAUACAUAUUUG
rnacentral:lncRNA from 1 species